rnacentral:rRNA from 1 species
GACUGUACAAAGGUAGCAUAAUCACUUGUCUUUUAAUUGAGGUCUAGAAUGAAUGGUUUGAUGAGAGAUAUACUUUCUUUUUUUUAUAUUUAAAAUUUAAUUUUUUAGUUAAAAAGCUAAAAUGUAAUUAUAGGACGAGAAGACCCUAUAGAGCUUUAUUUUUAAUAUUUGAAUAUAUUUAUAGAAAAUAAGUUUAUAUAUGAAAUUAUAAAUUUUGUUGGGGUGACAGGAAAAAAUUAAUAACUUUUCUUUUUUAUGUCGUUUAUAUAUGACUUGUUGAUCCUUUUUUAUGGAUAAAAAGACUAAGUUACCUUAGGGAUAACAGCGUUAUUACUUUGGAGAGUUCAUAUCGAUGAAGUAGUUUGCGACCUCGAUGUUGGAUUAUAAUAAAAUAUAGGAGUAGAAUAUUAUAUAUUUAGGUCUGUUCGACCUUUAAAUUUUUACA